rnacentral:rRNA from 1 species
GCUCAGGAUGAACGCUAGCGGUGCGCCUAACACAUGUAAGUCGUGCGAUCGAGCCGAACUGAGUCCCUUCGGGGAUGAUGAUUGGUGACGGAGCGGCGGACGGGUGAGUAACGCGUGGCUAACCUACCCUCUUGACGGGGACAACCACCCGAAAGGGCGGCUAAUACCCGAUAUUGUCUGGAACCGAUGGGUUCCUUUCCAAAGGCGGUCAUGCCGCCGCAAGGGGAUGGGGCUGCGUCCUAUUAGCUAGUUGGUGAGGUAACGGCCCACCAAGGCUUCGAUGGGUAGCUGGUCUGAGAGGACGACCAGCCACAUUGGGACUGAGAUACGGCCCAGACUCCUACGGGAGGCAGCAGUGGGGAAUCUUGGCCAAUGGACGAAAGUCUGAGCCAGCGACACCGCGUGGGGGAUGAAGGCCUUCGGGUUGUAAACCUCUUUUCUGGGGAAAGAAUAAGGACGGGAGGAAAUGCCCGCCCGAUGACGGUACUCCAGGAAUAAGCAUCGGCUAACUCUGUGCCAGCAGCCGCGGUAAGACAGAGGAUGCAAGCGUUAUCCGGAAUUACUGGGCGUAAAGGGCGUCUAGGCGGUUCGGUAAGUCGUUUGUGAAAUCCCUCGGCUCAACCGAGGAAGGUCUUGCGAUACUGCCGGGCUUGGGUGCAGGAGAGGAGGGUGGAACUCACAGAGUAGCGGUGGAAUGCGUAGAUACUGUGAGGUACCCCGAUGGCGAAGGCAACCCUCUGGCCUGCUACCGACGCUGAAGCGCGAAAGCGUGGGGAGCAAAGGGGAUUAGAUACCCCCGUAGUCCCCCUAAACAAUGUUCACUUGGUGUCGGCCGCUCAUACUGGUCGGUGCCGAAGCUAACGCGUUAAGUGAACCGCCUGAGGAGUACGGCCGCAAGGCUAAAACUCAAGAGAAUUGACGGGUCCCUGCACAAGCGGUGGAGCACGUGGUUUAAUUCGAUAUAAACGAAAAACCUCACCCAGGCUUGACAUACUAGUGGUAGGAACCUGAAAGGGGGACGACUCUGCCUUCGGGUAGAGAGCUAGUACAGGUGAUGCAUGGCUGUCGUCAGCUCGUGUCGUGGGAUGUUGGGUUCAGUCCCGAAACGAGCGCAACCCUUGUCGUUAGUUGCCAGCGGGUAAUGCCGGGGACUCUAACGAGACUGCUGGUGAAUAGCCGGAGGAAGGCGGGGAUGACGUCAAGUCAUCAUGUCCCUUAUGCCUGGGGCGACACACAUGCUACAAUGGGGGGUACAGAGGGUCGCAAUCCCGUAAGGGGGAGCCAAUCCAUAAAAACCCCUCCCAGUUCGGAUUGAGGUCUGCAACUCGACCUCAUGAAGUCGGAAUCGCUAGUAAUCGCGGGUCAGCCAUACCGCGGUGAAUAUGUACUCAGGGAUUGUACACACCGCCCGUCACACCAACCGAGUGGGGGGUACCUGAAGUCGCUCUUCUGAGGGCGCCUAGGGUAACUUCCGCAAGAGGGGUGAAGUCGUAACAAGGUA